rnacentral:lncRNA from 1 species
UUACACCCUUCCACAGAAGUAAAAUUUGCCUUGCUGAGGAAAUUAAAUUUAUGUUUGAGUGCUAUUUCUUUUGCAGCACUGAAAAUUUAUUUCUAACAGUAGCCUCUAAUGCAUUUCACAAAUAGAAGGUAAUAUUACCACUAUUGGAUUAGAGUUUUCCCCUCAUUUCCUCCAUUUUCCUUGUUUCUUCCAUUUUCUAUAAGGAUUUUUUAAAAACAGUCUUAAGCAAAGUCUUCAUAAGAUUUGGGAAGUCAGACCUCACAUCACUGGGAUACUGGUCAGAGGACAGCCCUUGGAUGUCUUCUAGAGUCUCCAUUCCCUCCUUCGCAUGAGUCCUUUCUGUGAUUAGGGUAUGGCAGCAACAACCAAGAUGGGGGCUCUGAAAGGAGGGCAAGGGUUCAGGGGAGGAGAGCAUGGCCCCACAUGGAAUGCUGCCCUUGGUCACCCCAGCCCUCUCUCAAUUUCCCUCACAACCCACCAUCAGGAGCCUCAGAGUAGGCCAGCGUUUGAAACAAGUUUUCAGUGCCGCAAAAGAAACAGCACUCAAACAGAAAUUUUUUUCUCAGCAAGGCAAAUUUACUUCUGCAGAAGGGUGCAGCUGGCGCCAGACAUGAUCACAAGAGCACACUGAGUAGGGUGGGGCAGGAGUUUUUAUCCCUAAUGCAGCAGCUUCUGUAGCUGUGUCCUUUCCCCAUUGGCUGGAGUUGGACUGCACAAUCUAAGCUGAGACCUGACUGGCUACUGUUUAAAAUUGAACAGGGCUAACUAGGCAGGAAGGGAGAGGCUGUCCCUUACAAUUUUAGGGUGCAGUAAAGGCAGAAAGGAUAGUUGCAGAGUAGGGAAUAGAUGUGAGUUAUAGAUUAGGACUGAUGGGAAGAUUGUUUACCAUAAUUAGAGGCAAGGGGGCAUAAAGAACGAGGAAGUUACUCUUUGAAAAUAGAGAACAAAGAACAAGGAAGCUGAACAAGCUGACUCUUCUUUGAAGAGGAACCCACCGUACCCAACACCAGAAAGACUAUAACCUUGCUUUGAAGGCUGGGAGUCCAAGAUCCAGGUGUCAGCAGUGUUGGUAUCUCCUGUGGCCACUCUCCUGGGCUUGCAGACGGCGUCUUCUCCCUGUGUCCCCACAUGACCACCCUUCUCCACCUUAGCAUCCCCGGUGUCUCUGUGUGUCCGGAUGUCCUUUUCUCAUGAGGUGAGGACACAGUCAGAUUGGAUUAGGGCCCACCCUAAUGGACCUGUUUAAAGGCCCUGUCUCCAAGUACAGCCACAUUCUGAGAUACUGGGAGUUAGGGCUUCAAGAUACAAAUUUUAGAGAGGCCCACUCCAGCCCAUCACAAAGACAUAAGGGUGGGGGCCCCAUAAUGAAGACAGAGUUGGGUGGGGAGUAAUGACACAUGAAUAUGCCCCUUUUGUCAUCCUUUUAAAAAGUUGUAGAAGGAAUAAGUUAGGUCACAUAUGUAAAAGUUCAAUAAAAGGCCAUCGAAUAAGAAUUGGAACUCUAGAAAAUCUCCCAGGUUGUCUUUGUUGACAAACUGGUUUCUCUUUCUCUUCUUUCUACUAUUAUAACCCCAGGGAAGUGAACUUGACAUGGUUUAGCAACCAAAUAAAGCCAUACGUCACUGCUGCUCUUUGAAGAUAAUGAAAUCUGGCAUCGAGAUCUUUAUCUUUGCAGGAACCAAAGGCCAGAGACUUCUCAGCAAACACAAGACCAGAGAGAGAAGCAUCCCUGCUGAUGAGAAAGAACAGACACUCCCAGAGGACAAGGUCCACCUGUCAGGCAGCCACAGCCCAGCAUACUCUGGAGUCUGAGGUGGGGGUCAGUUGUGAAGAAAGGGAAGAAGGAAGAAAAAGGAUACGUUGUGCUCCGACCACAGGCCAAGGUCAGAAGACGGUAUUUACCAAGUCUCUUCCCAAAAUACUUGCAAAUGCACAUAAUCUCAAAGUGUUUUUGAGGGCUCUUCCGAUCUAAAAUUGGUCCUAGUGACAAGGGGUGUUUGGGGAAAUCAAAGGGCUGGCUUAACUAUGUAGACCUAGGUCUGGUCUUAUUUCUGGCCCAUACGAUCAUCAUGACCUUGGACAAAUGAAACUUCCUGGGCCUCAAGUUCCUUGUAUCAGAAAGGAUGGCAUUCAGCUGCGUACAACAGAAAACCAAAUCACAGUGGCUUAUCCAAGAAAAGUUCAAUUUUUCUCAAAACUACAGCGUCCUGGGCUGAUGCGGCAGCCCCAGGACGACCUCAGCAUCUCACUCCUCCUUUCUUUACUCGGCCCCAUCCUCAGGCUGUGACUUUCAUCCUCAGGUUUGUCAUCUUUUGGUGGUAAGAUGGUUGCUCUACCUCAAGCUCACAAAAAGAAAUGGGGGAAAGCAGGAAAGAAGAAAAUCUGCUUCCCCAGAGACUCUGAGGCUGCACUUGCACAUCUUAUGGAUCCAAACUGUGUCCCAUGGCUGCCCCUAGAUGCAAGGGGCCUGGGGAAAUGAGCGGAUUCAUCAGGUACACUGCAACCGUACAUGAAAGGAAAGUUCUGUCAAUAAAGAAGAGCGAAAUCUACAUUUGGUCAGGAAACAGCAUUGCCUGCAAUAUGCCUCAUAUGAAAUAAAGCCUUUCUUGCCCCCAUUCUGCUACUCGGUCAUUCUUGCACUCAACAAAUAGAUGUUGAGUGCCCACUCUCUCCAGGCCAUGUUCUAGGUGCUGCGGAUGCAAUCCUGAAUCUAUGAACACGAUUGGCAGAACAAUAAAUAUUGAUUGUCUUGGCCACUCACCAAAUAAAGUGCUCCUGGGAAGGCUGAGAUCUAAUGCAAAGCAGCAGCUUGACUUUCUCACUCCCUGGCAACAAUGCCAAGCAAGAGAAAGCGAUGGGUAAGGCCUGGCUCAAGAGUCUCACUGCAACCUGCACUGUAGAUUCUACCUGCUAAUUUCCUCAGCCUUCUCUGGUUUUGGGCUUCAGAAUGCCCUAACUCUGGGCCCGGCGCGGUGGCUCACGCCUGUAAACCCAUCACUUUGGGAGGCCAAGGCGGGUGGAUCACAAGAUCAAGACCAUCCUGGCCAACAUGGUGAAACCCUGUCUCUACUGAAAAUACAAAAAUUAGCUGGGCAUGGUGGCUUGUGCUUGUAAUCCAGCUACUUGGAAGGCUGAGGCUGGAGGAUCGCUUGAACCCAGAAGGCAGAGGUUGCAGUGAGCUGAGAUCACACCACUGCACUCCAGCCUGGCAACAGAGUGAGACUCUGUCUCAAAAAAAAAAAAAAAAAAAAAAAGAAUGCCCUAAGUCUACUCUGGACCAUGAGCAAGGAUAAUCUGUCUUAGAGGAGAGAAGGUGAGGUUAUGAUUCCAGAGCAUUUGGUGACCCAGGAAGUAGACCUGCCUCCUCCUAUCUGUCCACAGAGCAGUCCUAGGGGCAAUAGGCCAUGAGAAGAUCAUGCCAGGCAGUCCAUUUCUAUAUUACCAUGUAAACAAAAACUCAGCUGUGAACCCUGGAACGUUCGUAUUCUGCAGCUGCCAGUGUAAACUGGUACAGGCCUCUUGAAGAACAGUGGGGAAAGGCACUCUGAAAGCAUCCACGCCUCCAUACCUGCUGAUCCAGGGCUCUGAUUUUCCUUCUGGGAACCAAGCCUAGGAGAAUGAUUCAAGCUGCAGAAAACCUUUCUCCACUAAGAUGUUUGCUGUGGCAUUCAGUAUAAUAGCACACCAGAGAAACAAUCUAAAGAUUCAUCAGUAGGAGAAUAUCUAAGUAAAUUAUGGUACAUACACUCAAUAAAAUGUUAUAUGACUACUAAUUAUGGUGGUUACAAAGACUAUCUCUUUAAGAAAAAUGCUUCUGUGAAUGGUUAAGUGAAAAUUGCAAGAUACGGGCUGGGUGCAGUGGCUCACACCGGGUGCAGAGUCUCACUCUGUUG